AAAAAGGGCUUCUGUCGAGAGUGGCACACGUAAGGUAGCUCGUUUGCUGUUCGUCUGGAAUCAACAUCGAGAGAUCUCAGAAGCAUAAUUUUUUGGUGUCUGGGCAGCUGGUGAUCGUUGGUCCUGGUUGCCCCU
ensembl:snRNA